GAUGAACGCUGGCGGCGUGCCUAAUACAUGCAAGUCGAGCGAACGGACGAGAAGCUUGCUUCUCUGAUGUUAGCGGCGGACGGGUGAGUAACACGUGGAUAACCUACCUAUAAGACUGGGAUAACUUCGGGAAACCGGAGCUAAUACCGGAUAAUAUUUUGAACCGCAUGGUUCAAAAGUGAAAGACGGUCUUGCUGUCACUUAUAGAUGGAUCCGCGCUGCAUUAGCUAGUUGGUAAGGUAACGGCUUACCAAGGCAACGAUGCAUAGCCGACCUGAGAGGGUGAUCGGCCACACUGGAACUGAGACACGGUCCAGACUCCUACGGGAGGCGGCAGUAGGGAAUCUUCCGCAAUGGGCGAAAGCCUGACGGAGCAACGCCGCGUGAGUGAUGAAGGUCUUCGGAUCGUAAAACUCUGUUAUUAGGGAAGAACAUAUGUGUAAGUAACUGUGCACAUCUUGACGGUACCUAAUCAGAAAGCCACGGCUAACUACGU
rnacentral:rRNA from 1 species